rnacentral:ncRNA from 2 species
AUAAACCGCAUACGAAGUGCUCGUAUAAUUUUGGGAAUAAGGCCCAACAGUUUCUACCGGGUGACCGUAAAUCACCUGACUACGAGUGAAAUCGCGUUCCAU